rnacentral:rRNA from 1 species
UUGUUGGUGAGGUAACGGCUCACCAAGGCGACGAUCCCUAGCUGGUCUGAGAGGAUGACCAGCCACACUGGAACUGAGACACGGUCCAGACUCCUACGGGAGGCAGCAGUGGGGAAUAUUGCACAAUGGGCGCAAGCCUGAUGCAGCCAUGCCGCGUGUAUGAAGAAGGCCUUCGGGUUGUAAAGUACUUUCAGCGGGGAGG